AGUGAACGCUGGCGGUAGGCCUAACACAUGCAAGUCGAACGGCAGCACAGUAAGAGCUUGCUCUUACGGGUGGCGAGUGGCGGACGGGUGAGGAAUACAUCGGCAUCUACUUUUUCGUGGGGGACAACGUAGGGAAACUUACGCUAAUACCGCAUACGACCUACGGGUGAAAGCAGGGGAUCUUCGGACCUUGCGCGAUCGAAUGAGCCGAUGUCGGAUUAGCUAGUUGGCGGGGUAAAGGCCCACCAAGGCGACGAGCCGUAGCUGGUCUGAGAGGAUGAUCAGCCACACUGGAACUGAGACACGGUCCAGACUCCUACGGGAGGCAGCAGUGGGGAAUAUUGGACAAUGGGCGCAAGCCUGAUCCAGCCAUACCGCGUGGGUGAAGAAGGCCUUCGGGUUGUAAAGCCCUUUUGUUGGGAAAGAAAAGCAGCAGGUUAAUACCCCGCUGUUCUGACGGUACCCAAAGAAUAAGCACCGGCUAACUUCGUG
rnacentral:rRNA from 1 species